CCUACGGGGGGCUGCAGUCGAGAAUCUUCCACAAUGGACGAAAGUCUGAUGGAGCGACGCCGCGUGACUGAUGACGCAUUUCGGUGUGUAAAGGUCUUUUAUGAGGGAUGACAUAGCGACAGUACCUCAUGAAUAAGGGGCUGCUAAUCACGUGCCAGCAGCAGCGGUAAUACGUGAGCCCCGAGCGUUAUCCGGAAUUAUUGGGCGUAAAGAGUGCGUAGGUGGCGUAGUUAGUCUUUUGUUUAAUCCUUCGGCUCAACCGAAGAACUGCAAAGGAAACGGCUAUGCUUGAGCAUGUAAGAGGUAAGCAGAACUCAUGGUGUAGGGGUGAAAUCCGUUGAUAUCAUGGGGAAUACCAAAUGCGAAGGCAGCUUACUGGUACAUUGCUGACACUGAGGCACGAAAGCGUAGGUAGCGAAUGGGAUUAGAUACCCAUGUAGUC
rnacentral:rRNA from 1 species